GUGGGGAAUCUUAGACAAUGGGGGAAACCCUGAUCUAGCCAUGCCGCGUGAGCGAUGAAGGCCUUAGGGUUGUAAAGCUCUUUCAGCUGGGAAGAUAAUGACUGUACCAGCAGAAGAAGCCCCGGCUAACUCCGUGCCAGCAGCCGCGGUAAUACGGAGGGGGCUAGCGUUGUUCGGAAUUACUGGGCGUAAAGCGCACGUAGGCGGACCGGAAAGUCAGAGGUGAAAUCCCAGGGCUCAACCUUGGAACUGCCUUUGAAACUCCUGGUCUUGAGGUCGAGAGAGGUGAGUGGAAUUCCGAGUGUAGAGGUGAAAUUCGUAGAUAUUCGGAGGAACACCAGUGGCGAAGGCGGCUCACUGGCUCGAUACUGACGCUGAGGUGCGAAAGCGUGGGGAGCAAACAGGAUUAGAUACCAGUAGUCC
rnacentral:rRNA from 1 species